CCCCUGUGACCAGCAAUGUGCUCCCCCACCCCAGCCCGUGCCACCACCCUGCACCCCCUCCUUAACACCCCCUGCCUCUCUGCAUCUUGUUUGGCGGUCACCGUGGGGGUGUGUGCGCGUGCGUGUGUGUGUGUGUGUGCAUGUGUACGUGUGUCGAGGGAGGAGGAAGGCAAGCUUGAUGACACGCUCCAUUUCACAAGCUAAGUAAAUGGGGCAGAGAGAUGGGCGGCUGCCUGGGCAUCUCGCCAGGUGGGCAUCUUGACUCCAGGUCUGAGUUCUUUCUGCACAGGCUCCCUUGAGGGUUCCUACGUGGGCUCUGGAAGCUGACUGCCCGGGUUCAGAUCCAGGCCGGGCCUUUUGGUGACUGCGCAGCCUUGGGCACAUUCCUUAACCUCUAGGUGUCUGGUUUCUUGGGUCUACAAAAUGGGGACAACCCACGGGAGGAACCACCUGUGGCCGCUGUGGAGUUCCAUCGGGGCCUCUCACACUGACUGAGCGCUGUGUGCCAGGCGCCCAGAGCUGGCGUGCCAAGCGGAUGUCCACUGCCCUCGCGAGAGCCAGGCCUGGGCUGGGCCUGUGCCCUUGACGCGGAGUAAACAGACCGCAGCCUGACUCGUAGGAAGCGCUCGGUGACUGUGAGCUGUCCCCAUCACCAAGCUCGUGCUUCAGGCGAGCUGCCCUCUCCACGUGGCAGGUGAAAAGGAGCUGCGAGGAGCUGGACAAAAGGGAAGACCUUUAGAGGCAGACGGGAGUGGAACAUGGAAGCUAUGCCAGCAAAAAGCCAACAGUUGGUCGUGGCAAGGUCGAAUCCAGGGGUCGGUGAGACCGAUGACCUCCCUCCUGCGCAUCGGGUCAUUCCUGGUGGACUGGUUUGGGGCUCCUUUUCCACGAGAACCAAAACUGUCAUUACGUCUUGGUUUGGUGGGGGAGGGGCUUAGCAUAAGUGACUCCAAUUUGGGCCUGUCUUGUUUUUAACACUAGUCUCUCUCAUCUAAACUGA